GAGUCAUUGGGACUUAUUUAAACCUAAAGGCGCAAUGAAAGUAAAGGUCCGCCUCGCGCGGACCUAGGGAGGAUGCGCCCGACCACGGUCGGGCACCGCACUCCCGGGGCGUCUCGUUCUCACAGCGAGAAGAGGCGCACCCAGAGCGUACACGCUGGGACCCGAAAGAUGGUGAACUAUGCCUGGUCAGGACGAAGUCAGGGGAAACCCUGAUGGAGGUCCGUAGCGAUUCUGACGUGCAAAUCGAUCGUCGGAACUGGGUAUAGGGGCGAAAGACUAAUCGAACCUUCUAGUAGCUGGUUCCCUCCGAAGUUUCCCUCAGGAUAGCUGGCGCUCGCCUUUGCGAGUCUCAUUCGGUAAAGCGAAUGAUUAGAGGCAUUGGGGUCGAAACGGCCUCAACCUAUUCUCAAACUUUAAAUGGGUGAGAUCUCCGGCUUGCUUGAACGGUGAAGCCGCGAGAGAUCAUCGGAUCACAGAGUGCCAAGUGGGCCACUUUUGGUAAGCAGAACUGGCGCUGUGGGAUGAACCAAACGCCGAGUUAAAGCGCCUAAAUCGACGCUUAUGGGAUACCAUGAAAGGCG
rnacentral:rRNA from 1 species